UACGAAGGGGGCUAGCGUUGUUCGGAAUUACUGGGCGUAAAGCGCAUGUAGGCGGGUCGUUAAGUCGGGGGUGAAAGCCCAGAGCUCAACUCUGGAACUGCCUUCGAUACUGGCGACCUGGACCCAAGGAGAGGCGAGUGGAAUUGCGAGUGUAGAGGUGAAAUUCGUAGAUAUUGUGAGGAACAUCAGUUGCGAAGGCGGCUUUCUGGCCUGAUCCUGACGCUGAGGCGCGAAAGUGUGGGGAGCAAAC
rnacentral:rRNA from 1 species